CUGACUCGUGCCUGAACUCCUGCAGGUUAAUCAACCAACCACUGAUCAGUAAAGCAAAAAAUAAGAGGAUCAUGCAGGUUCAGUUUGUCUGUUUGCUGCUGGGCCUGCUUUCUGCUGUGGAGCUCUGUGCAAGCCUGGACUUCUAUCAGAAACAUGUCAUUGGAAACAUGCUGGAAUACGAAUGUGCUACAGUGAUGCAGACGAGACAAAUCAACGGUCGAAAUGGUGGAUGCAAAAAAAUAAACACAUUUCUUCUGGACACAGGUGUUAGGGUCAGAAACACCUGUGCACAUGGUGAUGGAACACAUAAUGUUGGCUUUAAUGUUGUUGUAUGCAGGCGCGUUGUUAUCAGUUCACAUCCUAAUUGUAGUUAUACAGGUCGACGCCAUGACAACAGGAUUGUUCCUAUAAUGUGUAAACAUGGAGUGCCAGUCCACUUGCAUAGCAGCAAAUUGGUUAAACUGUUCUGAAUUGUUGCGUUUUGCUUAGUUUGAAGUUUACAGCCAUCCUGGCUACAAUCUCAUUAUUGCUUAUCAUGAUUUUUCUUCAGUUUGCUUUAGAAAAA